rnacentral:rRNA from 1 species
UACGUAGGCAGCGAGCGUUGUUCGGAGUUACUGGGCGUAAAGGGUGCGCAGGCGGUGGAGCAAGUCUGUUGUGAAAUCUCCCGGCUUAACCGGGAGGGUGCGGCGGAAACUGUUCUGCUGGAGUGAGGGAGAGGCAAGCGGAAUUCCAGGUGUAGCGGUGAAAUGCGUAGAUAUCUGGAGGAACACCGGUGGCGAAGGCGGCAUCCUGGACCGGCAUUGACGCUGAGGCGCGAAAGCCAGGGGAGCAAACGGG